GUUAGUGAGCAUACUACGUUGGGAACGUCAGCUUUUAUCCGAUCACCGAAGUUAAGCAGUGUUAGGAGCGGUUAGUAAUUGUAUUCAUGACCAGCUGGGAAUACUUCAUGUUUAUUGGCU
rnacentral:rRNA from 1 species